rnacentral:lncRNA from 1 species
AUAUGGUACAAUAGAAGGAUUGAGAAGGGACUGGAAUUUGCAGCAGGACUUCUUUGAGAACUAGCAACUGGCUCUACAGUUAUGCUCACCUAUAAUACGUGAUGAAUGGAUUAUAUGGGCCAGUGCAAGACCCAGACCUGGAUUUUCAACUUGGCGAAGAAUUAGAAACCAGUGAGGAAGAACUAAAGAAUCUCUUCUUUAUCAAAUGAGCAUCACUGGAUUAUGUAGACCCCCUGGGUCCUUGGUGUGUACACCAAUUCUUCUGUGUGGGAAACUGCAACAGAUCAUUGCUGGGACAGCCAGGCUCAACUUCAGCUUUCUCUGCUACUAUU